AGAAUCAACGCUGGCGGCGUGCCUAACACAUGCAAGUCGAACGAGAAAGUGGAGCAAUCCAUUAGUAAAGUGGCGCACGGGUGAGUAACACGUGACUAACCUACCUUUUAGUGGGGGAUAACCUAGGGAAACCUGGGCUAAUACCGCAUAAUACCUACGGGUCAAAGCAGCAAUGCGCUGAAAGAGGGGGUCGCGGUCGAUUAGUUAGUUGGCAGGGUAAUGGCCUACCAAGACUGUGAUCGAUAUCCGGCCUGAGAGGGCGCACGGACACACUGGAACUGAAACACGGUCCAGACUCCUACGGGAGGCAGCAGUGGGGAAUUUUGCGCAAUGGGGGAAACCCUGACGCAGCAACGCCGCGUGGAGGAUGAAGUCCCUUGGGACGUAAACUCCUUUCGAUCGGGACGAUAAUGACGGUACCGGAAGAAGAAGCCCCGGCUAACUUCGUGCCAGCAGCCGC
rnacentral:rRNA from 1 species